UGUAAUUGAUCGCUGGUGGAGUGAGAGAGCACGAAAGGGAGUACUCUGCCGUCCCUCGCUGUUCCGCUUUCUCGAUAGAGACGACGAUACCUAAUCCAAACGCGAAUCCGAGUCCAGAAGGAUUGGCAAAGAGAAGGAGAAGGAGGAGGCUGGAGAUGGGGAAGUCCUCGAGCUCAUGCUUCAAGAUCAUGGGCUGCGGCGGGAGGGAUGCCGUUGACGACGACGAUCUCGAGCCGGAAGAGUUUUUUCAGGCCAAAACUUCAUCAGAUACACACAGGUGGAGUUUCCGUAAAAAAUCAUCCAGGCAAAGAGUGCUAAGAAACACUGUGAUCUCCGAACCCGUAUCAGUUUGCUCUAGCAAGCAAGGCCAAGAGGUCUCAAAUACUAAUUACCACUCACUGAAGUAUUCAUCCCCAGUAAAAGCCCAAGUGCAAGAAAGACCAAUUGAAACCUCUUCAUCACCAUCAGACGUAGUAAAUACAGAAGAUCGUCCAUCUUCUGACAAAAGCACAGAUCCAGUUGCUCCAGCCUUCAAUGACACUGAUGCUAUUGAAGUUCAAUCUGUUAUAAGGGGAUAUUUGGCCAGGAAAAAGUUCCACAAACUUAGGAGCAUUGUCAAGUUGCAAGCUGCUGUACGUGGACAUCUGGUAAGAAGACAGGCUAUUGGAACUUUGCGGUGUAUUCAAGCUAUCAUUAGAAUGCAAGCGCUUGUAAGGGCUCGUCAUGCUUGUCAAUUAGUUGAAAAGUUUUCUCCAGAGAAUACGAAGUUCCAGGGCAAGGGAGAUUCUUUUGAGAAAUCAUACAAAACAUCAAUCAAGAAUUUGCUUUCAAAUGGGCUUGCUCGUCAGCUUUUGGAGACUACACCAAAGACAAAAGCCAUCUACAUAAAAUGCGAUCUAUCAAAGUCUGAUUCAGCAUGGAAGUGGUUGGAGAGAUGGAUGGCUGUAACUUCAUCUGGAGUAGGCCAGCAACAGGAGCAAAAUCUCAACCAUAUUAGUCGGCCAUUGGAAGAGAAUGCUAAAAUGGCAGAUAGUGAACCAGCUAAAGAGAUCCCACUUGCAGAUUCAUCAGUAUUAUCUGAUUCAAAGUUUGCUCCAACAGAAUUAGUCAUGGUGAGUUACGGUAAAAGUAGUUCAAUGACAGAAAACACUGAAAACUUUGAGUUUCAAACUUCGGAAAUUGCCCCAGAGAAUUCCUCCAAAUCUUUACUUAAGGAUGAUGUAGAACAUUUAGAGCUCAAAAUUGAGCUUUUGAACACCACUGUUGAAGAUUAUACAGAAACUUGGAUGGUCAAUGAGGAAAGUUUGAAUUCUAUAACAGAUAAUAAACAAUUGCAACCAAAUCCAACUUCAGAAAUAUUAGUUGAGACUAUACCUAAUAAGCUUGAAUGUGCAAAAGACAGCUGGAGCCCUAGUCCCGAAAGUACAUCCUGUGAAGCACUGGAGAAUGAAGGAAAGAAAUCUGUUAUUGGAUCGAGGAAACCAUGCAAUCCAGCAUUUGUUGUAGCUCAGCCGAAGUUUGAAGAGCUGAGUUCAAGAUCAAUUGUCGAUCAGUCUGUUACUCCUGUUUCUCAAAUUGUUGCAUCAAAAUCAAAAACAGAGAGCCAAAAUAUUCAAGUGGAUUCGUUUUCAAACAGCAAAGAAGAAAUUUCGGCAGAGAGCUCAAUGUUGCAUGAAUCAAUUGUUCAAGCUGCAGUUUCAGAAUGUGGCACUGAAAUAUCUCUCUCCUCCACUCUUGACUCACUGGACAGAUCUGAAAUGGAAGGUGGGGAAAUUGUUCUUGAAAUUGGGGCCCUGGAGAAACAGAUUCAUUCCACCAAUGCUGAUGCUGAGAAUGCUUUUAGUAUUUCCCAUUUGGGUGGUGAUGAGGAUGGCUCGAGGUUUAGUUCGCCUGUGGCCGACUUGAAUGCUUCUGUUGACUCGGUGCAGGUCGAUCAACAGCCAGCUGAGCCAACUAUUUCAGAUGGGCAGACUUAUCUGGAAGGUAUGAUAGGGCAAGCUAGUUCGCCUCAAGGAACUCCAAGAAGUCAUGCAACAGCUACUGAUCUUCAUGGAACCCCAUCUAGCGAUGUAUCUGUAAAUGCCAAAAAGAGUAAGAAGGAUAAUAGCAGGCAUACCCAUAGGCAAAGGUCUCAUUUGGUAGGUAAAAGAUCACCAUCUAAUCCAAAUAUUGAUUCGGAUGGAAAAAGUAGCACAGAAAAUUUAACCAAGGGUUUGAGGAUUUCAAUGACGCAUAACUCAUUUGGGAUGGCUAAAACCGAUCAUGUUGACCAGGAACCCAGGCUCAGUAGCAGUAGUUCUCUUCCAGGUUAUAUGCAAGCCACUGCAUCUGCAAGAGCAAAAGCCCAUGUAAUUACAUCUCAGAAGUCCAGCCCUGAUUUGAAUGAUAUCCAACCUAAGAAAAGGCAUUCCUUACCUAUUGAAAACGGAAAGCAGAGCUCAACCCCACGCAUCCAAAGAUCAGCAUCCCAAGCCCCGCAGAGCACGAAAGGCAAUGGAGCUCAUUCUCCUCAUAAUUCUACUGGUGUUCAGUAAGUGAACCUCAGUAGAAAUGCUUAUUCUCCAGUUAUAAGAAAAGAAAGUGAUGUCUCUCUCUACGUAGAGAAGAUGGCAAAGAUGAUCAAGCUUCAAGACCAACACAUGAUCUGAACCCGCACUUGAAGGAUGCCAAUGUCAUGUUUAUGCGAGGGUUCCUUUAUUCAGCCAGUUGUGGAGUUGGCAUAUUCUAGGGUAUUGGGCUGAAAUGUACAUUAUUAACUGCUGGUCAGGUUAUUAGUGUUCUUAAGGUUUCCGUGUGGACGUCUCCAACCAGGUUAGAUGCUAGUGAGCGUUUCUUUUCUUUCUCUUCUUCUGUUUGCACAUGCGAUGCUUUGUGUAUUUAUUUGUAUGUGAUUUGCUGGUUUCAGAAUUUCUGUUAACAAAACUGGCUAUCUCUCAUCUCUUACUUGGAAUACCAUAAACAUAGGUUUGGAUUA